UACUCCUACGGGAGGCAGCAGUGGGGAAUAUUGCACAAUGGGCGAAAGCCUGAUGCAGCAACGCCGCGUGAGUGAUGACGGCCUUCGGGUUGUAAAGCUCUGUCUUUGGGGACGAUAAUGACGGUACCCAAGGAGGAAGCCACGACUAACUACGUGCCAGCAGCCGCGGUAAUA
rnacentral:rRNA from 1 species